CAGGGCGAAGUUUUCUGUACAUCUCGCAUUGUGACCAUCUGUUGUUAACGCAUGGUUUCAAUGGGAUAUGUUGAUAAAGCUUCCGUCGAG
rnacentral:pre_miRNA from 1 species